rnacentral:lncRNA from 1 species
GAGUAUUUUAUACAGCACUGCUCCUGUGGUGCUGCCAGUGUUUUGCUCAGCUCAUACCGAGAAAUGAAGAAUUAUUUUCCUGGGUGGAGCAGACUGAACAGCCUACUUAUUCAGAACGGAAAUAUAUCUGACCUCUCUGUUAUUCCAGAAAUAGGAGGAAUUAGUGAAAAAAUCAAGCAAAGAGAGGAUCGUGUUUCAGAGAUGACAUGUGAAGAUCAUGAUGCUAAAACCUGUAAGGCAUUGUUAUAAUGCAGCCCCUGAUGGUGCAGUGGGUUAAACCCUUGUGCCGGCAGGACUGCUGACUGACAGGUCAGCGGUUUGAGAGCAGAAGAGCUCCCUCUGUCAGCUCCAGCUCCCUAUGUGGGGACAUGAGAGAAGCCUCCUACAAGAAUGGUAAAACAUCAAACAUCUGGGCAUCCCCAGGACAAUGUCCUUGCAGAUGGCCAAUUCUCUCACACCAGAAGUGACGUGCAGUUUCUCAAGUUGCUCCUGACAUGAAAAAAAUUAUUAUAAUACUAGCUGUGCCCGGCCACGUGUUGUUGUGGUGUUGUCUGGUGGUGUUGGUGAGAACUCGUUGAGGUAGUGGUGGUAUUGAAUAUCUGUUGUAUGGUUGCCUUUAUGUUUAGUAUGCAUUUGGUUGUUUGUGUACUGUGAUAGAGGGGGUGUAUGUCCCUGUGUAGUAUUGUAUAGUAUUUAUACGCUGUCCAUGUGUUGUGAAUGCUUGGAUUUUGUGCUGCUGCAUAAUAGAAAGGGUUGGGCUGGAUGGCCCUUAGGGGUCUCUCCAAACUCUUGGAUUCUAUGCUUCUAUUAUUAUCAUCAUAAUCAUCAUCAUCAUCAUCAUCAUCUUCAUCAUCAUCAUUAUGUAGAGGCUGGAUGGCCAUCUGUCAGGAGGGCUUGGAUUGUGUCCUCCUGCAUGGUAGAAGGAAGUUGGACUGGACGGCCUUUAGGGGUGUCUCCUAACUGUGUGAUGCUAUGAUUCGAAUUGGAUUAUUACUGUGCAGAUCUUGGAUGGCCAUCUGUCAGGAGUGCUUGGUUUGUGUCAUCCUGCAUGGUAGAAGGAAGUUGAACUGGAUGAUCCUUAGGGGUG